rnacentral:rRNA from 1 species
UACGUAGGCAGCGAGCGUUGUUCGGAAUUACUGGGCGUAAAGAGUGUGUAGGCGGUGCUCCCAGUCUGUUGUGAAAUCUCCCGGCUUAACUGGGAGGGUGCAGCGGAAACUAGAGUGCUAGAGGGUGGGAGAGGUAAGCGCAAUUCCUGGUGUAGCGGUGAAAUGCGUAGAUAUCAGGAGGAACACCAGUGGCGAAGGCGAUCAUCUGGGGUUGUUCUGACACUGAGGAGCGAAAGCUAGGGGAGCAAACGGG